rnacentral:rRNA from 1 species
GAUGAACGCUGGCGGCGUGCCUAAUACAUGCAAGUCGAGCGAACGGACGAGAAGCUUGCUUCUCUGAUGUUAGCGGCGGACGGGUGAGUAACACGUGGAUAACCUACCUAUAAGACUGGGAUAACUUCGGGAGACCGUAGCUAAUACCGGAUAAUAUUUUGAACCGCAUGGUUCAAAAGUGAAAGACGGUCUUGCUGUCACUUAUAGAUGGAUCCGCGCUGCAUUAGCUAGUUGGUAAGGUAACGGCUUACCAAGGCAACGAUGCAUAGCCGACCUGAGAGGGUAAUCGGCCACACUGGAACUGAGACACGGUCCAGACUCCUACGGGAGGCAGCAGUAGGGAAUCUUCCGCAAUGGGCGAAAGCCUGACGGAGCAACGCCGCGUGAGUGAUGAAGGUCUUCGGAUCGUAAAACUCUGUUAUUAGGGAAGAACAUAUGUGUAAGUAACUGUGCACAUCUUGACGGUACCUAAUCAGAAAGCCACGGCUAACUACGUG